UACAGAGGUCCCAAGCGUCGUUCGGAUUCACUGGGCGUAAAGCGUGCGCAGACGGUUGCGUAAGUCAGAUGUGAAAGCCCCGGGCUCAACCUGGGAAUUGCAUUUGAGACUGCGUAGCUAGGGUGCGGAAGAGGGAAGCGGAAUUUCCGGUGUAGCGGUGAAAUGCGUAGAUAUCGGAAGGAACACCAGUGGCGAAAGCGGCUUCCUGGUCCAGCACAGACGUUCAGGCACGAAAGCGUGGGGAGCAAACAGG
rnacentral:rRNA from 1 species